AAGAAUAGGACAUGUAAUCGCCCAAUUGGUUCUAAGAUACUAGAAAACCAAACAAAAUUCUAAUUACUUUCUAUAAAUUCACUAAAAAUAUAAACCGAUUCCAUCCAAACCUAUCAAUUGUACUAAAAUUGUCAUCAUAGCUAACAAUCGAACACAUAUUCCUCGUCCCUAUUUCAAAACACAUCAAACAAUCAAUCUUUCUUAACAUUACUACAAUAUAUGCUCUCACUACCUAAACAGAAACUGUCGGUUCAAAUUAGAUACAUCAAUCCGGUCCAUAUCGAUAACUUCCAGGUUCUUGAACCCCGAAAAGGCCAAAUCCUUGAGCAACUCACAACCCAAUCCACCCGCUCCAACAACCAACACUUUAGCAUACUCUUGAAGAUCAUUCCUCAGCUACACAACCCAACACUGACACAUCAGAAUGAUCAAAAAUGAAAGUGCACACAAGUUGUUUGUGAAAAGUCCUGAGACAGAAAAGCUUACAUCAGCUCCAGGUUCGAAAGUGGGGCCGACGAGAUUGCCGGGACGAAGGAGAAGCUUGUCGAGAUCACGUGAUCUGCUGUUGCUGAGUUGCUCCGCCAUUGGCGAUGCUCGCGAGCUGAGCAGAGAGCGAGUUAGAGUACGGGUAGUUUUGCUUAUGUU
rnacentral:lncRNA from 1 species